rnacentral:rRNA from 1 species
AAAAAACUGGCGGCAUGCUUUCCAAUGCAAGUCCGACGGCAGCACAGAGAAGCUUGCUUCUUGGGUGGCGAGUGGCGAACGGGUGAGUAACAUAUCGGAACGUACCGAGUAGUGGGGGAUAACUAAUCGAAAGAUUAGCUAAUACCGCAUACGUCUUGAGAGAGAAAGCAGGGGAUCUUCGGACCUUGCGCUAUUCGAGCGGCCGAUAUCUGAUUAGCUAGUUGGUGGGGUAAAGGCCUACCAAGGCGACGAUCAGUAGCGGGUCUGAGAGGAUGAUCCGCCACACUGGGACUGAGACACGGCCCAGACUCCUACGGGAGGCAGCAGUGGGGAAUUUUGGACAAUGGGCGCAAGCCUGAUCCAGCCAUGACGCGUGUAUGAAGAAGGCCUUCGGGUUGUAAAGUACUUUUGUCAGGGAAGAAAAGCACGGUGUUAAUACCAUUGUGUGAUGACGGUACCCUGAAGAAUAAGCACCGGCUAAAUACGUGCCAGCAGCCGCGGUAAU